rnacentral:lncRNA from 1 species
GGGGCACGGUGAUCAUGUUGAAGUCUCGGCUCACACACACACACACACACACCUGCACACCUCCUCCCUUUCUGAAUAUGUAACGAUUCCAACAUACUGGGUUAUUGUAGAGCUCCAGUCAGCAGAAUCCCUGGCGCUGCUUUCUGUCGCCUCCACACGGAUAUUCCCGUUCGGUUCUGUCGGGGCUCUGUCGCCUCCACACGGAUACUCCCGUUCGGUUCUGUCGGGGCUCUGUCGCCUCCACACGGAUACUCCCGUUCGGUUCUGUCGGGGCUCUGUCGCGGACGGCAACUAUGGCUGAUGCGGGAGAAGCCGGCGAAGAUGAAAUCCAGUUCUUACGAACCUGUAAUGGACCCUCUCACCUCCUUCUACAGUGUAAUGGACCCUCUCAUCUCCUUCUACAGUUGUAAUGGACCCUCUCAUCUCCUUCUACAGUGUAAUGGACCCUCUCAUCUCCUUCUGCAGUGUAAUGGACCCUCUCAUCUCCUUCUACAGUGUAAUGGACCCUCUCAUCUCCUUCUACAGUGUAAUGGACCCUCUCAUCUCCUUCUGCAGUGUAAUGGACCCUCUCAUCUCCUUCUACAGUGUAAUACACCCUCUCAUCUCCUUCUACAGUGUAAUGGACCCUCUCAUCUCCUUCUUCAGUGUGGUAGACUCUCUUGUAAGCACCAAUUCAUGAGUAUCCUGAAGGUAUGCUGAACAGGAUGGUAGUGGGAUGCACCAGAGCAGGGAAGAUGUUGGAAUUAUACUGAAGUAUGCUGUAUUUUAGAAGACAGCCUUGUAUUGUAGAUAUGUAUUUAUUAUCGGUGUAAUGUAGUGUCUGUAUUGUAGAUAUGUAGUUAUUAUAGGUGGAAUGUAGUGUCUGUAUUGUUGAUAUGUAUUUAUUAUAGGUGGAAUGUAGUGUCUGUAUUGUUGAUAUGUAUUUAUUAUAGGUGGAAUGUAGUGUCUGUAUUGUAGAUAUGUAUUUAUUAUAGGUGGAAUGUAGUGUCUGUAUUGUAGAUAUGUAUUUAUUAUAGGUGGAAUGUAGUGUCUGUAUUGUAGAUAUGUAUUUAUUAUAGGUGGAAUGUAGUGUCUGUAUUGUAGAUAUAUAUUUAUUAUAGGUGGAAUGUAGUGUCUGUAGACACGUGAGACACUUGCGUCUCUAAGAAUCAUAUAUAUAUAUAUGUAUAUGUUUUUGUAACCUUUAUUUAACCAGACAAGUCAGUUAAUAACAUAAUCUUAUUUACAAUGACUUCCUACCCUGACCGACGCCGGGCCAAUUAUGCGCCGCCCUAUGGGACUCCCAAUCACGGCCGGUUGUGAUACAGCCCGGGAUCGAACCCGGGUCUGUAGUGACGCCUCUAACACUGCGAUGCAGUGCCUUAGACCGCUGCGCCACUCUAGGAAUAGUGCCGUAAUGUCGGUUAGCCAUGAAAACAUUUGGGGAGCGUGCGACUUUCUUUCUAAAUGGAAGCAUAUGGUCACUAUUUCAGCUGAUCAGCGUCCCACUUACCUCAAAACCAUCAUGCGACGUCCCCUUGACCUUCAUGUGAUGUCCCCUUGACCUUCAUGUGACGUCCCCUUGUUGUCGUUGAAUGUCUCACUCAUAAC